GGAGUUCCAUUUUAACCGCUACCUGUGC
rnacentral:piRNA from 1 species